rnacentral:rRNA from 1 species
AAUAGAUACCCGGGUAGUCCACGCCGUAAACGAUGAGUGCUAAGUGUUAGAGGGUUUCCGCCCUUUAGUGCUGCAGCAAACGCAUUAGGCACUCCGCCUGGGGAGUACGGCCGCAAGGCUGAAACUCAAAGGAGUUGACGGGGGCCCGCACAAGCGGUGGAGCAUGUGGUUUAAUUCGAAGCAACGCGAAGAACCUUACCAGGUCUUGACAUCCUCUGACACUCCUAGAGAUAGGACGUUCCCCUUCGGGGGACAGAGUGACAGGUGGUGCAUGGUUGUCGUCAGCUCGUGUCGUGAGAUGUUGGGUUAAGUCCCGCAACGAGCGCAACCCUUGAUCUUAGUUGCCAGCAUUCAGUUGGGCACUCUAAGGUGACUGCCGGUGACAAACCGGAGGAAGGUGGGGAUGACGUCAAAUCAUCAUGCCCCUUAUGACCUGGGCUACACACGUGCUACAAUGGAUGGUACAAAGGGCAGCAAAACCGGCGAGGUCGAGCAAAAUCCCAUAAAACCAUUCUCAGUUCGGA